UAGAAGUGGUGCUCUCCCAGGAACCCUCUUAUCCACUGCGAGCUCGGCUUCCACAGGGGACUAACUCUGAAACCAGCAUCUCUUCUGCUCCAUUGCCUCCCGCCCCGAGUGAGCUAUUUCUCGCACCUUCUGCACGUGGAUCUCAACAUCUGGGUGCUGGGAAAGGAGGUCGACUGCUUUAGAACUCCACCUUACAGCGGCCCAGCUCAGACCAAGGAACAGAAAAGAAGUUUAAUACGUGGUUCCUAUGGAGACACUGAUGCUUGAUCUACCCAGUUACCUCUGUGUUCAGUUACUGAUGGUCUGUCGCAACUUGACAGGUUCCAAAAUUAGAAAGAUGGAAAAUUCUGCUGCAAUUCUUAGGUGUCUAGCAAUCCGGCUUAUAUUGCUUUUAUCCAUUAAGAUAAUCAGAGGGAUGGAAACUCAAGUACUAUAUAUCAACUCAAAGAGGGGAUGUAAUGAAAGAAAUGGAUGCCGAACAUCAGAGACCACGUGGCCUGAGCGAUUCAACGAUGCAGUCCCUGUGAGUCCCAUCAGUAUAUCCUGUGGUUUGUUCCAUAAGACCCUCCUCUGCUUUCUGGAGUUUGAUCUAUUUUGA
rnacentral:lncRNA from 1 species